rnacentral:tRNA from 6 species
GCGCGGUUAGCUCAGUGGUAGAGCGCGUCGUUGACAUCGACGAGGCCAGAAGUUCGAUCCUUCUACCGCGCA